GGCGUCGUCGGAGGACGGGCCGGUCGCAGCACCAGAGGUGGCGUCGUCGGAGGACGGGCCGGUCGCAGCACCAGAGGUGGCGUCGUCAGAGGACGGGCCGGUCGCAGCUUCAGAGGUGGCGUCGUCAGAGGACGGGCCGGUCGCAGCUUCC